GGGCCCGCACAAGCGGAGGAACAUGUGGUUUAAUUCGAUGAUACGCGAGGAACCUUACCCGGGUUUGAACGCAUUUGGACCGAAGGGGAAACCCUUUUUCUAGCAAUAGUCAUUUGCGAGGUGCUGCAUGGUUGUCGUCAGCUCGUGCCGUGAGGUGUCGGCUUAAGUGCCAUAACGAGCGCAACCCUUAUCUUUAGUUACCAGCAUGUGAUGAUGGGGACUCUAAAGAGACUGCCGGCGUAAGCUGUGAGGAAGGUGGGGAUGACGUCAAAUCAGCACGGCCCUUACAUCCGGGGCGACACACGUGUUACAAUGGGUGGGACAGAAAGCAGCAAACUGGUGACAGUGCGCGAAUCUCCAAACCCACUCUCAGUUCGGAUCGAAGUCUGCAACUCGACUUCGUGAAGCUGGAUUCGCUAGUAAUCGCGCAUCAGCCAUGGCG
rnacentral:rRNA from 1 species